rnacentral:lncRNA from 1 species
AUAUUGUAGUCGCUGUAUAUUGUGAGACAUGUACAUCAGACCGUAGAUGUACCCAGACCACAUGCUCAGACUCACAUCAUGUAGUCUGCUUAGCGGGUCAUUGCACAUGCAGGUAGCAGAACAGGACACAGUAAGCAAUUUCUUUUUAUUACAUUUUAAAUCAAGAGUAGAAUUGUUUUUACAGUGAAUUGAUAUUUUAAAAAUAAUAGAAAAAAGUAAAAUCACAAAAAUACUGAACUUAGAGGAAGAUCAAUUGGGAAAGUCCAUAAUCACAUAGAACAAUGGUUCAAUAGUUCUACAGUUGGAAUAUCGUGACUAGCAAAACUCUCAUCAAAUGUGACUUCUAUUGGUAGUAACGAUAUACCGGCAGUCUGCAAGCGUAUUAUAAUUCGCCGUUUCAGAAUCUAAUGCAUUCUGGGUAAUAUUUUCAAAAGCGUACACCAAAGCGUUUUGAUUGGUUUAAAACGUAUAAACAAUGGAAAUUACCAAUGACGUAACGUAUUUUAACUUGGGGUACGAACAAUGAAAUUACCCAUGAUGCUUUAGAUUCUGAAACGGCCAAUUGAAACAUCAAGGCAAUAAUUACAUAUCACAUCUGUUAUAUAAUUUGUUAGUAUAAUAAUUAUAUUAAAAUUGCACUAUAUAGCUUUAUCUGUAACUAACAUAACUGUCGUUAAACGUUAUACAACAUUGUAUUCUGCUUAUACGUACUCAAAUAUUAGAUAUUAACGGUUUUCUAGAAUGGUUUACUUUAAAUUCGUAUUAAAGAGAUAUUACUUACAUUCUUUUGGUGUUGGCUUCGAUAGAAUAUACGAGUGUUACAAUCAAUUAUAUACGUAAAUUAGAAAUCGUUCCUAUAACGUAAAUUUAUCAAAGUAUACAUGGAACUAUAUGGCAAUCAACAAAAAAAAUCAUCCUAAUGUAUAUUAAGACAUAGCUUUAGUGCCAAUUAUGUACAUAAUGGAAAGAACAAUAAAAAUAAUAAAUUAUUUAUGUACGCAAAAAAAGAAAAAAAUAAUAAACUAUUUAUGUACGCAAAAAAAGAAAACAAAACUUAAACAUUAGAAAAUUCUACAUUUCAUACAGAAUAAAUAAGGGAAGAAAACCUAAAGAACGUUUGGUUGUGUAAUUUUUCAAAUCCUCUCUUCGCAUGUGCCAGAUCAAUUCACCGUUUCAGAAUCUAAUGCAUUCUGGGUAAUAUUUUCAAAAGUGUACACCAAAGCGUGGUGAUGGUUUAAAACGUCCUAAACAAUCGAAAUCAACAAUGAGUAACGUAUUUUCAUUUUGGGUACGGACAAUGCAAUUACCCAUAGUCUUUUAGAUUCUGAAACGGCCAAUUGAAGAACAUAUUAAACAAUGUAUAUAUCAACAUAGGAAUACGGUAUAACAAUGUCUAUAUCAAACAUAGGAAUACCGUAUACAAAUGUAUAUAUCAAUAAUUCAUUGUUCUUCAUCUCAAAAGUACAACAUUGAUACAAUCACAAUUAUGUACGUAUAAAUAUGGUCAAGUUUAUUCCAACCACUUACCAUAAAUGGUAUGGAAAUAGAAGUAAAUGUCUAUGUCAUUCUACUUAAUUUUUUAAAAACUGUUUUUUAGCAUAUAUAUCAUAUACAAAAUAAUUAAAUAUCAACAUUUUAUUUUGCAGCAUGCACAGCCGUAGCCGACUGUAGCAGUGAACAUUGCAGAUUUGGACGGUCCCACUGUUAUGACGGUCAUUGUCAUUGUCUCCCUGGAGCAGGAAAAUAAUUCAAAUAGAACCUCAUUACUUUAUAAUGGUUUAAUUGACAUUUUUGGCAAAUAAAUAGGUG